rnacentral:tRNA from 1 species
GGCGGCGUAGCUCAGAUGGCCAGAGCAGGGGUCUCAUAAGCCCUUUGUCGGCGGUUCGAUUCCGCCCGCCGCCACCA